GGGGGGAAAGGGGGGGUACACUUAGUAGGGGAG
rnacentral:tRNA from 1 species